AGUGAACGCUGGCGGUAGGCCUAACACAUGCAAGUCGAACGGCAGCACAGUAAGAGCUUGCUCUUACGGGUGGCGAGUGGCGGACGGGUGAGGAAUACAUCGGAAUCUACUUUUUCGUGGGGGAUAACGUAGGGAAACUUACGCUAAUACCGCAUACGACCUACGGGUGAAAGCAGGGGAUCUUCGGACCUUGCGCGAUUGAAUGAGCCGAUGUCGGAUUAGCUAGUUGGCGGGGUAAAGGCCCACCAAGGCGACGAUCCGUAGCUGGUCUGAGAGGAUGAUCAGCCAAACUGGAACUGAGACACGGUCCAGACUCCUACGGGAGGCAGCAGUGGGGAAUAUUGGACAAUGGGAGCAAGCCUGAUCCAGCCAUACCGCGUGGGUGAAGAAGGCCUUCGGGUUGUAAAGCCCUUUUGUUGGGAAAGAAAAGAAGCAGGUUAAUACCCCGCUGUUCUGACGGUACCCAAAGAAUAAGCACCGGCUAACUUCGUG
rnacentral:rRNA from 1 species